rnacentral:rRNA from 1 species
UACGUAGGGGGCAAGCGUUGUCCGGAUUUAUUGGGCGUAAAGAGCGUGUAGGCGGUUUGGUAGGUCCGUUGUGAAAACUCGAGGCUCAACCUCGAGACGCCGAUGGAAACCAUCAGACUAGAGUCCGGAAGAGGAGAGUGGAAUUCCUGGUGUAGCGGUGAAAUGCGUAGAUAUCAGGAGGAACACCUGUGGCGAAAGCGGCGCACUGGACCACAACUGACGCUGAGGCGCGAAAGCUAGGGGAGCAAACAGG